rfam:Triticum aestivum genome assembly, contig: Triticum_aestivum_CS42_TGACv1_scaffold_393400_5AS
UAUGUACUGCCUACGUUCAGAAAUACUUGUCAGAGAAAUGGAUGUAUCUAGACGUAUUUUACUUCUAGAUACAUCCAUUUUUAUCCAUUUUCCAACAAGUAUUUUUGGAUGGAGGGAGUAUAUU